rnacentral:rRNA from 1 species
AUUGAACGCUGGCGGCAGGCCUAACACAUGCAAGUCGAGCGAGCGGCGGACGGGUGAGUAAUGUCUGGGAAACUGCCUGAUGGAGGGGGAUAACUACUGGAAACGGUAGCUAAUACCGCAUACCAUCAGAUGUGCCCAGAUGGGAUUAGCUGGUAGGUGGGGUAACGGCUCACCUAGGCGACGAUCCCUAGCUGGUCUGAGAGGAUGACCAGGCCCACUGGAACCGGGAACCCGUCCAAACUCCUACGGGAGGCCGCAGGGGGGAAUAUUGCACAAUGGGCGCAAGCCUUAUGCAGCCAUGCCGCGUGUAUGAAGAAGGCCUUCGGGUUGUAAAGUACUUUCAGCGGGGAGGCGUUACCCGCAGAAGAAGCACCGGCUAACUCCGUGCCAGCAGCCGCGGUAAUUC